GGGGACAACAUUUGGAAACAGAUGCUAAUACCGCAUAACAACGUUGUUCGCAUGAACAACGCUUAAAAGAUGGCUUCUCGCUAUCACUUCUGGAUGGACCUGCGGUGCAUUAGCUUGUUGGUGGGGUAACGGCCUACCAAGGCGAUGAUGCAUAGCCGAGUUGAGAGACUGAUCGGCCACAAUGGGACUGAGACACGGCCCAUACUCCUACGGGAGGCAGCAGUAGGGAAUCUUCCACAAUGGGCGCAAGCCUGAUGGAGCAACACCGCGUGAGUGAAGAAGGGUUUCGGCUCGUAAAGCUCUGUUGUUAAAGAAGAACACGUAUGAGAGUAACUGUUCAUACGUUGACGGUAUUUAACCAGAAAGUCACGGCUAACUACGUGCCAGCAGCCGCGGUAAUACGUAGGUGGCAAGCGUUAUCCGGAUUUAUUGGGCGUAAAGAGAGUGCAGGCGGUUUUCUAAGUCUGAUGUGAAAGCCUUCGGCUUAACCGGAGAAGUGCAUCGGAAACUGGAUAACUUGAGUGCGGAAGAGGGUAGUGGAAACUCCAUGUGUAGCGGUGGAAUGCGUAGAUAUAUGGAAGAACACCAGUGGCGAAGGCGGCUACCUGGUCUGCAACU
rnacentral:rRNA from 1 species